UACGGAGGAUGCGAGCGUUAUCCGGAUUUAUUGGGUUUAAAGGGUGCGCAGGCGGGCUAUUAAGUCAGCGGUGAAAUAUUCAGGCUCAACCUGAAGACUGCCGUUGAAACUGUUAGCCUUGAGUAUAGAUGAAGUAGGCGGAAUUCGUUGUGUAGCGGUGACAUGCUUAGAUAUAACGAGGAACUCCGAUUGCGUAGGCAGCUUACUAAACUAUAACUGACGCUCAUGCACGAAAGCGUGGGGAUCAAACAGGAUUAGAUACCCUGGUAGUCCACACCGUAAACGAUGAUUACUAGUUGCAUGCGAUAUGAUAGUAUGUGACCAAGCGAAAGCGAUAAGUAAUCCACCUGGGGAGUACGCCGGCAACGGUGAAACUCAAAGGAAUUGACGGGGGCCCGCACAAGCGGAGGAACAUGUGGUUUAAUUCGAUGAUACGCGAGGGAACCUUACCCGGGCUUGAAAUGCAGAAGAAUAAUGAGGAAACUUAUUAGCUAGCAAUAGCUUCUGUGUAGGUGCUGCAUGGUUGUCGUCAGCUCGUGCCGUGAGGUGUCGGCUUAAGUGCCAUAACGAGCGCAACCCACAUCAUUAGUUACUAACAGGUCGUGCUGAGGACUCUAAUGAGACUGCCGUCGUAAGAUGCGAGGAAGGUGUGGAUGACGUCAAAUCAGCACGGCCCUUACGUCCGGGGCGACACACGUGUUACAAUGGGUGGUACAAAGGGCAGCUACCUGGUGACAGGAUGCUAAUCUCCAAAGCCACUCCCAGUUCGGAUCGGAGUCUGCAACUCGACUCCGUGAAGCUGGAUUCGCUAGUAAUCGCGCAACAGCCAUGGCGCGGUGAAUACGUUCCCGGGCCUU
rnacentral:rRNA from 1 species